rnacentral:rRNA from 1 species
GCAAGUCGAGCGGAUGAGAAGAGCUUGCUCUUCGAUUCAGCGGCGGACGGGUGAGUAAUGCCUAGGAAUCUGCCUGGUAGUGGGGGACAACGUUUCGAAAGGAACGCUAAUACCGCAUACGUCCUACGGGAGAAAGCAGGGGACCUUCGGGCCUUGCGCUAUCAGAUGAGCCUAGGUCGGAUUAGCUAGUUGGUGAGGUAAUGGCUCACCAAGGCGACGAUCCGUAACUGGUCUGAGAGGAUGAUCAGUCACACUGGAACUGAGACACGGUCCAGACUCCUACGGGAGGCAGCAGUGGGGAAUA